CACAAAAGUCUUCCUGGCUAGUAUGGUGCCCACACACCUACAGAAGCCUGUCUGCAGAGGAAAGUGACUAUACAUCUGAAAAUACCCAGAUUAAGGACUGACAGGGUCCAUGCAAGUAGAAAGGUAUCAUCUCCUAAAACCCACGACCCACCAAGGUCCUUUGAAGAUACCACUGCUAUCAAAACAGCCUUGCUACGGAGGAGAGCGCUAGCUGGGACUUUCAGCUUUUCAGAAGCAUGAGACAUGGCCCCAGUUAAGAACUAAAACAGCAGAAACCAACUACAGUGAAGGCACCAGUGAAGUCCGAUUCUCAGACUAGGGGUUGAGAGCUCAAGACUCAUUCUAGGCUCUGCCCCAACCCUCAUUUGGUCUCAGACACGUCCUUGGGAUUCUUUCUGGGAGUGCAUUCCUGGUGACUCUGCUUCCUAUAUGUGCUUCUAACUGUCACCUAGCAGGUACAGAGCCAUCAUAUCUGCAG
rnacentral:lncRNA from 13 species